rnacentral:rRNA from 1 species
GAAAGACCCCGUGCACCUUUACUGUAGCUUUGCGCUGGCAUUCGUGUCGGCAUGUGUAGGAUAGGUGGUAGACUUUGAAGCCGAGGCGCCAGCUUUGGUGGAGUCAUCCUUGAAAUACCACCCUUAUCGUCAUGGAUGUCUAACCGCGACCCGUCAUCCGGGUCCGGGACAGCGCAUGGCAGGCAGUUUGACUGGGGCGGUCGCCUCCUAAAGAGUAACGGAGGCUUGCAAAGGUACCCUCAGUACGGUUGGUAAUCGUACGUAGAGCGCAUUAGUAUAAGGGUGCUUGACUGUGAGGCACACAAGCCGAGCAGGGACGAAAGUCGGCUAAAGUGAUCCGGCGGUUCUGUAUGGAAGGGCCGUCGCUCAAAGGAUAAAAGGUACUCCGGGG